GGAAGAGGAGAGGCACAGGAGGCUGCUGGAGCGCCGGGACCAGACAAAAUGUGCACCUACCUGAGGACUAGCACUCAGUCUUUGCUCAUUCAGACUCAUCAGCAUAACUCUCCGUUUGAACAACAGCACAAGGAGCAUUGGAAAUGUUCCUCAAGCAUUCCAUCUACAGUGGAGCAGUCAGACAAACCUCAGGGAGAAGGAGUGACAUUGGACAGGAUGAUCAAUGGCUCAGCCCACAGGCUCUGUUGUGGUGCCAGGCAGUGCUGGCAUCACCUAAGUGAGUGGCAGAGACACAUACAACCUGGAACUGAAAAUUCAGUGUCAGUCUGAGUGCAGGACUGGGACCAAGGGCUGUACAGUGAAAGAGAAGGAAACCUUAGAGAUGAAGAAUGAAGAAAUUGCCUCUUUUUUUUUGUUUGUGCUGGC
rnacentral:lncRNA from 1 species